rnacentral:lncRNA from 1 species
UCUUUUACCCGCUGGAUUGAAGCAUUGUCUUCCUCAUUCACACCGACAAUGAAUUUCCCCGGCGAUUUGCACCAGAUCUGCAUCUCAAGCCUAUUCCUUCAAAUUCUAGUUUCAUUGUUUUAGGAAAUGAAGACCCAUCUCCUCUCACCUUUAUUCUUGCCCAUUUUACUUUUAAAUAUUAUAUUGUUAUUGUUAAGAAUAUUGUGAUAUUAUUAAAAAUAUGUUAUAUAUCAAUUGGAAUCAGUAGGAAUUAAUACUUAAUAUAAAAAAUAAAAAUAAAAAGCAUCAGUAGAAAUUAAUUUGGGAGAUUAUUGUUUGUAUAAUUAUGUGACCUUAAUAUUCUUUCCUACUUAAGAAUAGGUUACAUAACUGAUAUUGGGCAUAUUUAUAUAUGGUUGGGUAGUAAUUUACUUGCAAGUUUACAGCUCUUUGGUUAUAUUUCCUGUCGAAUAUGCCAAACUAAGCUUAAUUAUUGGUUCCACAUUGAUUUUGGGUGUUAAUGAGUUGCAUAGGUACAAUGGAGAUGAAUUUGGAGAAAACCCCAUUGUUGUCGGGAAGCACCUGAAGCUAGACUAGUAGCUCACAUCACCAACAUAUAGCCGAGCUGGCAAGCGAGAGAAGCACCCGAAUCCUGAAGCACAGAUGAGCAGGCACUUACGGCUCGUGAGGAGCCUAGCGAGAAAACGUGGAUGGGGAAUAGUUUUCAGCUUGCAUAGCAAGCAUUGUGGUGCACAAGAACUUUAGCCCAACGAGGUUAGGACAAGGCAAUUUUUGUCCCACAACUUCUACAACACAUAUAUAAAACUUAAAUAUGCAUAUCUUAUAGGUUAUCUUACACACUUGGAACGCAGAGGAACCCAUUGAAAGUUCGGAAAGCUUAGAAUUCGUCUUGAGUUCUUGUUCUUCCCUUCUUUUAUUGAUUUUUAUGUAUUCUUGGGAUUUAAUUGGGUUUUCUAUCAUGAUGAUGUGUAUCUAAAUUCUUAGUUCUAGGGUUAUGGGCUUUACAUGAAUGUUGAUGUUUGAAGCUAGAAUUGAUGAUUGUUGGUUUUAUCAUAUUGAUUUAUUUAUUCAAUCCCAUUCUUAAGUAUUUCAUUGUUUGUCCAACGAUUCAAUACUAUCUACCAAUCUUGAAUUGAAC